ACCACGUGGUUUGGAGACGCCCCCUUUUUGAAUUGUGUAUAUAUGUGUGUGUGUGUGUGAUAUGAGCACAGUAUAUUAAAAGAAAAUAGUUCAUUUGGGAUACUCCAGCUGUUAAGAUGUGACUCCCCCACCCCGUGUACCAUCAAAAUGGGGUGGGUGGGAUGAUAAGCAAAUGAAAUAACAUAUAUUAAAAACAAAGAAUGUGAUUUUAACUUAAUUACCAUAUUUACAAUAAGCAAUGAAAGAGAAUGGGAGAAAAAUAAUAUUUCCAAGAUUCGUGACUGUGAAGCUGUUUCAAAUCAGAUCUGAUGAGAUAAAGUUAUAAAAUCCGUGAUGCAGUCUGAACUGAUGAAUAACAGCGCGCGAACCGGCGUUCCAAAGGUAACAAAACCAGAAGGUCCUGCUUUGUAUACUACCAGAAGAAGAAUGGGUUUCUUAUCUCCAGGAACUUUUUUUGAUCAGGGACUUUGCAGUAAAUAGAAGACACGCAUUUCAUGCAAAUGGAUCAUCUAAGAUGUAACAUUUUACAAUAAAAGAAAAACUUACUUACUUUACUUUACUAACAUGAUAAAGAGGCGUCACAUAGAUUUUUUUCUGUAAAUAUUUUAUAUAGAUGGUGAUGGGUUUUGUAACUGAAACAAAGAUAUUAACCUUUAAGCACAAAUAUACGAGUAUUACUUAUAAAUUGUACGUAGUUAUAGCACUGGUGGUGGACAUGUACCCGUUAUUUUAAGCACGUAUACAACAAAAUGUAAUGUUCAUUAAAUAUGUUACAUCCGUACAUUGUACAGUACACAUGAUCUUACCGGUAACGGAGACACAAACUUUUAUAUGACAUGUCAUCAUAGAACAAAACCGUACUUUUAACAACAGGACUAACCUUAAACUGUAAAUUACAGUUUUGCGUAGUCUCUUGUUGAAAGACUGGCGUGAGGUGUAAUGUAUCUUACAUUUUUAUGUUACAUUUAAGUGUAAUGCAAAUUACAGAUUUAAUUACUUUUCCUAUUAUACGAGGACCGAAGUGUACGUAACUUACAAUUUUCUGUUACAUUUUAGUAUUUUGCCGAUGCGUUAUUAAAAGUACGGUUCUAGUUUAGUUUUACGUUUAGUUUUAAUCAUUGACUGAAGUGUAACGAAAAUUUCAGUUUUCCGUUACAUUUAAUGUAUCCAUUAUUAGAAAUUACGUCAGAAGCUGAACUUAUCGAUAAACGAAAGGGAUGUAACAUAUUUUAUCACAUAUUACAUUGCACUUGUAUAUUUUAUAACCAUUUGCACUUACAUCUAGAUCUAUAGUUGCAGAACAUAUUCAUAUAUAAAGGAGAAUGUAUGUUUUUUUUGUAUAUAAAACAUAUAUUUUACGAACGACACGCGCGGCCAAAGAACAAAUUGUGUACAUACAAAGUAUAAAUGGUAUGAACAUUUGACGAGUGUAGAAUACGAGUGGGGAAAUGUGCGAGUGUGGAAAAAUGUGAAGAUAAAAAUUUGAUGAAAAAUGUUUUGAAAUAUAUGGAUAAGCAUUGAAAAAAAUGUUUGUUUGAGUGAUUUUUUAACGUAUGCCUGGAAAAAGUGUUGGAACCAAUAUUGCAAAUAUUUAAUGAUAUAUUUAUUCAUCAAUAUAAGAUUUGUUUAAAUUGUUAUAUCCAUCAGAUAAAAAAUUAUUAAGAUUGAAAUUUAAAAACUCUUUUUAAUAAUGUUACAAAAGAAAGCGAACAAGUGUGAUUGGAAGAGUGUUGUAAAGAUGUAUGCUUGAUUAUAAAUUUGACAUGGAAGAUACAGAUGUGUUUGAUGAAAAAGUUGUAAGAAUGCGAUUGAAUGAGAAUAUUUGUGAAGUGUAAACUCUAGUCAUGUUGUUAUAUAUGUUAUUUUUUUAUAUGUAUUUGUAAAUAGAUAUUAUAAAUAUUUAAUAGUAAUAUAUAUAUUAAUAUUGUAUUUGGGAAUAUAUCAAAAGGACAUGCAAAGUGAGUUGAAAAUAAGCUGCAUAAUCUAAUACUUGGUCUGCCAUAUAUUAGAUAUUAAAUUUGGCAAGAUAGGAUUUUUGAAAUGCUUAGAUAACAAUGAUGAACUUGGCCCGCCAAGAGGUUUCAGAGAAUGCGCAGACGUGCAAAAUGGCAAGACUGUUGGCACAUGCAAAUACAAUCAACUUUUCACUUAUCCCCAAAUGACACUCAUAGACAUGUUCUUGAAAUAUAUUUCCAAUACAAAAAAUGCCAGGCGUUAGUGCAAUUCCCCAUUUUGAAAUUGUUGUUUUGUUUUUCUUCUCUUAUUUCUAAGUUAGGGAGAUCAAAUAUAUUUUUAAAAUUUCAUUGUAUAUAUCAUUUCAUGACGUCAUAUAGAUAGUUUUUGAUGUAUCUACAGAAAUAAGACCAUUUAACAUAAUUUAUAACACAUUAUUGUGAAAGUAUUAUGUAAACAUUUGAAUUAUUUCUGCAGAUGAUAUUAUCGUUUCCGGUUACGGGAACGAGGCUCUGCAUGCUAUAUUGUGAUAUUUAUAUUUAGACGGAAACCUUUGGGUUUUAUCCCCGCCUGUAUACCUUUGCAAAAUUAAAUAACGAAAUUUCCAUGCUUGAUUUUAACCAUUGUAAAAUUAAACCUAAUCUUAACCAUAUGUAAUUUUUGUGCAAGUUAAAUCCUUCCCAAUCUCAUCCCCACAACCGACUGCUCAAAGACAUUCUAAUUCUUAUUACAUGUAUAUUUGUUCCAUUGGCUUUUCAUGUAAUUCCCGGACCCAUAAUUAAUUCCCAUGUUCAUAUAUUUAGAGGCAGUACCGGAAAUACUCAGAUUUCGAUAAGGGAGGUGUCACUGUCUAUUAUUUUAUAGUAAAACAUACAUGUAUAUCAUUCACGUAAUUGACUUGUUAUUUUUUUUAAUUUUUGAGUUAAUUUUGUUUGUCUCAAAGUAAUAUCAAAAUAUAUUUCUUUCAAGAAAACGAAAACAAAACAUUUGGUCAUGUCCUGUACGUACUCUUUGACCAAAGAAAGACAAUGUACAGGUUUAUGUCUUUAAGCGUUUUUUGAAGGUAACCAUGAACAAUGGCGUCAAAUCAACCAAAUUGUGUGUGUGUUUUUUUUU